rnacentral:rRNA from 1 species
UACGAAGGGGGCUAGCGUUGUUCGGAUUUACUGGGCGUAAAGGGCGCGUAGGCGGGCGAUUAAGUCAGGGGUGAAAUCCCAAGGCUCAACCUUGGAACUGCCUUUGAUACUGAUUGUCUUGAGUCCGGGAGAGGUGAGUGGAACUGCGAGUGUAGAGGUGAAAUUCGUAGAUAUUCGCAAGAACACCAGUGGCGAAGGCGGCUCACUGGCCUGGUACUGACGCUGAGGAGCGAAAGCGUGGGGAGCAAACAGG